rfam:Plicaturopsis crispa FD-325 SS-3 unplaced genomic scaffold PLICRscaffold_8, whole genome shotgun sequence.
GGCAAGAUGGCGGAGUGGUCAAUCGCGUUGCCCUUAAGUAAUCACUACGUACUCUUGGAUAUGCAAUCUCUUCGGAGGCGUGGGUUCGAACCCCACUCUUGCCA